rnacentral:rRNA from 1 species
GAUGAACGCUGGCGGCGUGCCUAAUACAUGCAAGUCGAGCGAACAGACGAGGAGCUUGCUCCUCUGACGUUAGCGGCGGACGGGUGAGUAACACGUGGAUAACCUACCUAUAAGACUGGGAUAACUUCGGGAAACCGGAGCUGAUACCGGAUAAUAUAUUGAACCGCAUGGUUCAAUAGUGAAAGACGGUUUUGCUGUCACUUAUAGAUGGAUCCGCGCCGCAUUAGCUAGUUGGUAAGGUAAUGGCUUACCAAGGCAACGAUGCGUAGCCGACCUGAGAGGGUGAUCGGCCACACUGGAACUGAGACACGGUCCAGACUCCUACGGGAGGCAGCAGUAGGGAAUCUUCCGCAAUGGGCGAAAGCCUGACGGAGCAACGCCGCGUGAGUGAUGAAGGUCUUCGGAUCGUAAAACUCUGUUAUUAGGGAAGAACAAAUGUGUAAGUAACUAUGCACGUCUUGACGGUACCUAAUCAGAAAGCCACGGCUAACUACGUG